GGGGAAUCUUGCGCAAUGGGCGAAAGCCUGACGCAGCGACGCCGCGUGAGUGAUGAAGGCCUUCGGGUUGUAAAGCUCUGUGGAGAGGGACGAAUAAGUGUUGGCUAACAUCCAGCAUGAUGACGGUACCUCUUUAGCAAGCAUCGGCUAACUCUGUGCCAGCAGCCGCGGUAAUACAGAGGGUGCAAGCGUUGUUCGGAAUUAUUGGGCGUAAAGCGCGUGUAGGCGGCUUAGCAAGUCGGGCGUGAAAGCCCUCGGCUCAACCGAGGAAGUGCACCCGAAACUGCUGAGCUUGAGUGCCGGAGAGGAUGGCGGAAUACCCCAAGUAGAGGUGAAAUUCGUAGAUAUGGGGUGGAACACCGGUGGCGAAGGCGGCCAUCUGGACGGUAACUGACGCUGAGACGCGAAAGCGUGGGGAGCAAA
rnacentral:rRNA from 1 species